GGUAUCAGAAGUGCGAAUGCUGACAUAAGUAACGAUAAAGCGGGUGAAAAGCCCGCUCGCCGGAAGACCAAGGGUUCCUGUCCAACGUUAAUCGGGGCAGGGUGAGUCGACCCCUAAGGCGAGGCCGAAAGGCGUAGUCGAUGGGAAACGGGUUAAUAUUCCCGUACUUGGUGUUACUGCGAAGGGGGGACGGAGAAGGCUAUGUUGGCCGGGCGACGGUUGUCCCGGUUUAAGCGUGUAGGUGUGUGUUCCAGGUAAAUCCGGUUCACUUUAACACUGAGGCGUGAUGACGAGGCACUACGGUGCUGAAGCAACAAAUGCCCUGCUUCCAGGAAAAGCCUCUAAGCAUCAGGUAACACGAAAUCGUACCCCAAACCGACACAGGUGGUCAGGUAGAGAAUACCAAGGCGCUUGAGAGAACUCGGGUGAAGGAACUAGGCAAAAUGGUGCCGUAACUUCGGGAGAAGGCACGCUGACACGUAGGUGAAGUGAUUUACUCACGGAGCUGAAGUCAGUCGAAGAUACCAGCUGGCUGCAACUGUUUAUUAAAAACACAGCACUGUGCAAACACGAAAGUGGACGUAUACGGUGUGACGCCUGCCCGGUGCCGGAAGGUUAAUUGAUGGGGUCAGCGUAAGCGAAGCUCCUGAUCGAAGCCCCGGUAAACGGCGGCCGUAACUAUAACGGUCCUAAGGUAGCGAAAUUCCUUGUCGGGUAAGUUCCGACCUGCACGAAUGGCGUAAUGAUGGCCAGGCUGUCUCCACCCGAGACUCAGUGAAAUUGAACUCGCUGUGAAGAUGCAGUGUACCCGCGGCAAGACGGAAAGACCCCGUGAACCUUUACUAUAGCUUGACACUGAACAUUGAGCCUUGAUGUGUAGGAUAGGUGGGAGGCUUUGAAGUGUGGACGCCAGUCUGCAUGGAGCCGACCUUGAAAUACCACCCUUUAAUGUUUGAUGUUCUAACGUGGACCCGUAAUCCGGGUUGCGGACAGUGUCUGGUGGGUAGUUUGACUGGGGCGGUCUCCUCCUAAAGAGUAACGGAGGAGCACGAAGGUUGGCUAAUCCUGGUCGGACAUCAGGAGGUUAGUGCAAUGGCAUAAGCCAGCUUGACUGCGAGCGUGACGGCGCGAGCAGGUGCGAAAGCAGGUCAUAGUGAUCCGGUGGUUCUGAAUGGAAGGGCCAUCGCUCAACGGAUAAAAGGUACUCCGGGGAUAACAGGCUGAUACCGCCCAAGAGUUCAUAUCGACGGCGGUGUUUGGCACCUCGAUGUCGGCUCAUCACAUCCUGGGGCUGAAGUAGGUCCCAAGGGUAUGGCUGUUCGCCAUUUAAAGUGGUACGCGAGCUGGGUUUAGAACGUCGUGAGACAGUUCGGUCCCUAUCUGCCGUGGGCGCUGGAGAACUGAGGGGGGCUGCUCCUAGUACGAGAGGACCGGAGUGGACGCAUCACUGGUGUUCGGGUUGUCAUGCCAAUGGCACUGCCCGGUAGCUAAAUGCGGAAGAGAUAAGUGCUGAAAGCAUCUAAGCACGAAACUUGCCCCGAGAUGAGUUCU
rnacentral:rRNA from 1 species